rnacentral:ncRNA from 2 species
GAACGGCAAUACGGGAGUCCCGGGGACGAGGGGCUGAGAGUGGGCAUACGGACCGGCCCUGACCGUCACACCUGAUCCGGGUCAUGCCGGCGUAGGGAGCGGAGUAUGGCAACAG